rnacentral:rRNA from 1 species
UACGUAGGAUGCAAGCGUUGUCCGGAAUUAUUGGGCGUAAAGAGCGCGCAGGCGGUAUGACAAGUCAGAUGUGAAAGAGGCCGGCUUAACCGGCAAGGGUCAUUUGAAACUGUCAGACUAGAGUGCAGCAGAGGAUAGUGGAAUUCCCGGUGUAGUGGUGAAAUGCGUAGAUAUCGGGAGGAACACCAGUGGCGAAGGCGACUAUCUGGGCUGCAACUGACGCUGAGGAGCGAGAGCAUGGGGAGCGAACAGG